rnacentral:tRNA from 1 species
AAAAUCCGCCGCUUUAGGAAAUCGUGAGGGUUCAAGUCCCUCUUUCCCCA